rnacentral:rRNA from 1 species
UACGUAGGGUGCAAGCGUUGUCCGGAAUUAUUGGGCGUAAAGAGCUCGUAGGCGGUUUGUCUCGUCUGCUGUGAAAACUCGGGGCUUAACUCCGGGCCUGCAGUGGGUACGGGCAGACUAGAGUGCGGUAGGGGAGACUGGAAUUCCUGGUGUAGCGGUGAAAUGCGCAGAUAUCAGGAGGAACACCGGUGGCGAAGGCGGGUCUCUGGGCCGUAACUGACGCUGAGGAGCGAAAGCGUGGGGAGCGAACAGG